GACGAACGCUGGCGGCGUGCUUAACACAUGCAAGUCGAACGCUGAAGCUCAGCUUUUGUUGGGUGGAUGAGUGGCGAACGGGUGAGUAACACGUGAGUAACCUGCCUCCUUCUUUGGGAUAACGCCCGGAAACGGGUGCUAAUACUGGAUAUUCACUGGUCUUCGCAUGGGGGUUGGUGGAAAGGGUUUUUCUGGUGGGGGAUGGGCUCGCGGCCUAUCAGCUUGUUGGUGGGGUGACGGCCUACCAAGGCUUUGACGGGUAGCCGGCCUGAGAGGGUGACCGGUCACAUUGGGACUGAGAUACGGCCCAGACUCCUACGGGAGGCAGCAGUGGGGAAUAUUGCACAAUGGGCGCAAGCCUGACGCAGCGACGCCGCGUGAGGGAUGGAGGCCUUCGGGUUGUGAACCUCUUUCGCUCAUGGUCAAGCCGCAACAAUGGUUGUGGUGAGGGUAGUGGGUAAAGAAGCGCCGGCUAACUACGUG
rnacentral:rRNA from 1 species